UGACAGCUUCACAGUAGCAGUGUGUGCUGCGCUUGAGAGGAGGGGUGACGGGGAGCUGUCUACUGUAUGUUACAGUAAUAAGAUUACUUGAACUCCUAAAGCUUCUUUUAAAUCAUAGUAGUCGCGCUUUUCUCGCACACCGCAUGUGCGCGCGGCCGAAGACUUGUCCGCUCACCCAUUCAGUUCGUCCACUGCCAAGAAAAGAAGCAGCAUUCAAUGACAUUAUUUUUUUGGGGGGAAAAAAACCCCUCGCGACCUUCCACACAUGCAUUUUGUAGAGCAACAGAAGACGACGGAGGUUACAUUGGUGGUCGUUCGCUACUUUGAGUGCUGAAAAACUUUUCCGCGGUUUAGCGAAAGAGACCCGAACGAACGAGGCAUGGAGAACCAGACCGAACCGCAGAGCACCACCGAAGACGUCCGUAAGAGCGGCUAUCUCCGCAAGCAGAAAUCCAUGCACCGGCGGUACUUCGUGUUACGGACGGCGUCUGAGCGCGGCCCGGCCCGUCUCGAAUACUACGAGAGCGAGAAGAAAUUCAGAGGAAAAGCGCCCGUGCCCAAAAAGGCUCUGGCGCUGGAGACGUGCUUCAACAUCAACAAACGAGCCGACUCCAAGAAUAAACACAUGAUUGUGCUGUACACACGGGCGGAGAGUUUUGUUGUGGCUGCGGAGAAUGAGACGGACCAGGAGGAAUGGUUUCAAGCGAUGGUGGAACUUCAAUGCAAGAGUAAAGCACUAUGUGACAGUGGGAAUGGGGAAGACUAUGGAGUACCAACACCUGGUCCUGCUUUCAAGGAGGUCUGGCAAGUAAAGGUUUGGCCUAAAGGUCUAGGGCAAGCCAAGAACUUGGUUGGUAUCUACCGCCUCUGCCUGACUGAAAAGACAGUAAACUUUGUCAAGCUAAACUCUGAUGCAGCUGCUGUUGUGCUCCAGCUCAUGAAUGUGAGACGCUGUGGUCACUCUGAAAACUUUUUCUUUGUGGAGGUGGGCCGUUCUGCUGUAACUGGCCCUGGAGAGUUUUGGAUGCAAGUGGAAGAUUCCGUAGUGGCACAAAAUAUGCACGAAACACUGUUAGAAGCCAUGAAAGCCCUGAGUGAGGAAUUCCGACAACGUAGUAAGUCACAGUCAAAUGCUGCAGGAGCGGGAGGCGGUACAACAGCAUCAAAUCCUAUCAGCGUUCCAUCUCGACGCCAUCACCCAAACCCACCACCUAGCCAAGUUGGGUUUACAAGACGUCCACGGACUGAACCACCAGGAAGUACUGGAGGAGGUGAGAACAGCAAUAACAGCUCUCCAAAUCCUCGACACAGCUUUCCCAGAAGUCGAACGUCCAGUGAUGGUGGAAAUUUUGAUGAUUUAGCUGGUGCAGCAACAGGAGGGAUUGCAUCAUGUUCAAGUCCUACCACCAAUGGGUCAUGCUCAAAUACCCCUAUACUGAGAUCAACAUCUGUUUGUGCUCCCACCCCAGUCAAGGCACAGCAUGCUCUAAUGAGAUCCACCUCAACUCCAGCUGCUUCAACUGCAUUAAGUCAACCUUCUAGCUCUAGUCGUACAUCUGACUUUUGUGGAACUGGGACAGACAGCAGCGCUGGGGGUGGUAAUGGUAGUGUGUACAGUCAAAUACCUCUCCGGCACCCUUCUGUCUCAGGCUCUCUCAGUGACUAUGGAUCCUCAGAUGAAUAUGGCUCAAGCCCUGGUGAGCACCCUCUGCAAACACCAACAAUGCAGACUGGUUCUGCAGAUAGCUCAGGUAAACAUUCUGCUGGAGAUGAUGCAUCAAACUACAUCCUUAUGGGUCAGAGAGGGGCAUCUAAAACUCAGCAACCCCAAAAUGCAUUACCACAGACCAGGAGGGUUCUGAGACGCUCUUCUAGCAGGGAGUGUGAAGCAGAGCGCAGGCUAAUGAGUAAGCGGGCUUCCCUCCCACCCAUGGCCUUAGAGAGACUAGCACCCCUCCGUCGAGCUGGGGAGGAAGCGUUUGAAGAGGAUGAUUAUGCAAUCAUGAUGCGUACCACCAGCCAAGAGUCAUUUAGUGUAAGGCAGGAGUCUGGAACAACAACAGGUGGAACAGGAUACCUAGAGGUAGCCGCAGACAACAAAUGUGAUGCUGGUAGUAAUGGAACAGUUGGUCCUGCCAUUACUGGUGGUGGUAAUGGAGCAAUAGAUAAUGGAUAUAUGUCCAUGUUGCCAGGAGUUACAGCUUCCCCUGUAUCCCAUUCACAUUCCCUUUCAGUUGCAGUAUCAGAUUCAGACUCAAAACCUGCAGAUGACUACAUGGCCAUGACCCCCAAUAACAGCAUUUCACCCCCCCAGCAGAUCCGCCCACCACCUUCUAGCACAGAUGGCUACAUGAUGAUGUCUCCUAAUAGUAGCUGUUCACCAGAUCAACGAGGGGUCCCCUCUGCCUGGAUUGGCAGUAGCAGUGCAGAUAGCCGAACUGGAAGUGACUAUAUGAAUAUGUCCCCUAUUAGUGCCCGUUCUGCCAAUAGCACACCACCACAACAUGAGCCCCUGCGACCAUCUGACUUGCAUCUUCAACAGCCUCCCCCUAAGAUGGUAUACUCUUACUAUUCUCUUCCUCGUUCCUACAAACACAACAGCUCAACUCACUUUGAGGAAGGGCCAGGAAGAGGGAAGCAUCUGGUUAAUGGAGGUAGAGGUCUCGGUGGAGGUAGAGGACUUAGUAAUAACAAGUCCAAGCAUCAGGAACCACCUGUUGGCCGACAUCUGUCACUUUCAUCAUCCUCAUAUUCUUCCAGUUCAGCAAGCAGUGAGAGCUUGGGUGAAGGUGAGGACAAAGCUGCCAAAGGGACAGGAGGAAGAAUAGGUGCUACUGCAAAGGAUGAUCAAGGACCCAUGCAGCAAAGACAAGGGACUGGAGGGGUAAAGCAUUCUGGUCAGAGGGGCCGUCCACUUAGCUUGUUUGUGGACAUCUCUAAAGCCAACACUCUUCCAAGAGUUCAUGAGACACCCCUUUCUUCUGAACCUAAGAGCCCUGGGGAGUAUGUCAGCAUUGAGUUCAAAGGUGAGAGGAACACAAAGACAGGAGCAAGUGGAAACAAAGGAUUUCAGUUAUAUACUACUCUUCCACCUAGUGCCCAUCGGCCCUUACCCAGGCCAACGUCUUGUGUUGCUGGCUUCUUGCCCUUCGCCCAAAGCUCCUCCACCUCUGUUCUCCCACCAGCUGCCUCUGAGUACGUCAACAUGGAGCUGGGAGGCUCUCCUUCCCCUUCACCCCUCUCCCUCACACCACUUGGGUUUCCCUCAUUUCCCACUCCCCCAGUUACACCAGCAGCAGCCCCUAAAGCCUGUGAUGAACAUAGAUCAACACAUCUACAUGAUGAUGAAGUUGAGGGUGAGAUGGGACAUAGAAAAAACAGGCAAGCAUCAGCACCACAGUCUGGAGAUUCACCUACAGCCUGUGGUGGUGACUACACAAAGAUGGCCUUUAGUCUGAACUCAGACAAAAGAUCAGAUAAAUCAAAAAAUAAAGCCUCUUUGCCAGACCAGCCUGAACCGAUAGUUCCAGCUCUAGGUUUAGGAAUAGGACUAGAUUUUCCCCUUGCCAAGAUUCCAAACCCAGACCUCGGAGCUAAGGUAAUCCGAGCAGAUCUUCAAGGUCGUCGACGACACUGCUCUGAAACGUUCCAGGUUCCUUCCUCACUGCCACCUUGCUCUACAACAUCAUCUUCCCCUGCAUUCCCUGAACACUCCCAAGCUAUAGCCCGUCGGCUUGGUUUUGAUGGUGUGCUUUGGGGUAACAGCUCAGCAGACAUUUCAUCUCCGUACAUAAACCCUGGACUACCUAGCCUAUCUUCUUCACAGACAUCAAUGGAGCAGGGUCUCAAUUACAUAGACUUGGACCUGGCUAACAAGGAAAGCCCCCACUCUUCCACAGAGGGGCAGGCAGCUGUCCACACACCUGCUGCCCGUCUCUUUUCCUCUGUGUUGGGUGGUGGAGCUGCAGGGGGUUCUGUGGGAACUGGAGGUUCAGGGAGUAGUACUUCAAGCCUUAACACAUAUGCUAGCAUUGACUUCUAUAAGUCAGAAGAGCUACGAACACAUCAAAGCAGCAGUAGCAGCAAAGAUGGUACAGAGUAGUAGAGCACAAGCAAAAGUAGAUUUUUGGAAAAGACUGUAAAAUGGAAAGUCAUCCAACACCCCCACCCCUCAAUUUGAGGAAGGAUUAAAAGGAAUUAAAGGAGGGAGAGUACAAGGGUGAGAAAGAGAUGGCACAAUGGAUGCGAGACAGAAGGGAAGAGACAGACAGACUGGGUGUGAGAACAGUAGACGAAGAAGAGACCCGAGGGAAAGAAAGUGUCUGACUGGGUUUCAUGUUUGGAGAAUGUUGAUGCUCAUACAUGAUACUGUGGAAUUCUGUAAGAAUGCCGAAGCUCUCCUGUAAACCUGAUUGUACCUGCCAGAGAAAAACAGGAGGGAGAGAGGAAGGUGUGUGCACAAGGCCCAAACAACCUCACAAGCACUUUUGAAAGACACUUCUCCAAUGAUUUGUUGCUUUAACAAAUGGAAACAUGUGCCACAACUGCGAGAAGAGCAAGAACUGACUUUGCUCUCCAGACUCUUGACAGAAUAGCGCAACAACCAAUCAGAGAGAAGAAUGAAGCCUGCCAAUCCAGAGCCAAUGUCAAUGGACCUUGAUCUUAACCAGUUUAACAGCUUGUGUCCACUAGUAUUUAAAAAACUAAGGAUUCAAUGAUGGAUGGUGGUUCAACAUAUAACCACACAAAGUGCCUCUUUUGAGCAGACAUUGACUGAAAAACUGAUGCGUUUGACGAGAAAGAUUGUUAUUCUAUUUUUAUGUAAAAAAGAUUGAUAAGGAAGAGGUUUUAGAUGUGUGAUGGUCAGAUUACAAUAUCGCUGAUGAUGUUUCUGUAAAUGAUGUUGAAAAUGAAGUCUCGUACUGUAUGAUGUUUAGCUAACCUAGCAUCACAGCUGUAAUGAUUAAAUACAUCGCUUGACCCAUA